UACGAGGGGGGCGAGCGUUGUUCGGAAUUAUUGGGCGUAAAGGGUGCGUAGGCGGUUCCGCAAGUCCUGUGUGAAAUCUUCGGGCUCAACUCGAAGUCUGCACGGGAAACUGCGGGGCUUGAGUGUGGGAGAGGUGAGUGGAAUUCCCGGUGUAGCGGUGAAAUGCGUAGAUAUCAGGAAGAACACCCGUGGCUAAGGCGGCUCUCUAGUACGGUACUGACGCUGAGACGCGAAAGCGUGGGGAGCGAACAGG
rnacentral:rRNA from 1 species